rnacentral:rRNA from 1 species
AUGAACGCUGGCGGCGUGCCUCAUCCAUGCCAGUCGCGCGAACAGACGAGGAGCUUGCUCCUCUGACGUUAGCGGCGGACGGGUGAGUAACACGUGGAUAACCUACCUAUAAGACUGGGAUAACUUCGGGAAACCGGAGCUAAUACCGGAUAAUAUAUUGAACCGCAUGGUUCAAUAGUGAAAGACGGUUUUGCUGUCACUUAUAGAUGGAUCCGCGCCGCAUUAGCUAGUUGGUAAGGUAACGGCUUACCAAGGCAACGAUGCGUAGCCGACCUGAGAGGGUGAUCGGCCACACUGGAACUGAGACACGGUCCAGACUCCUACGGGAGGCAGCAGUAGGGAAUCUUCCGUAAUGGGCGAAAGCCUGACGGAGCAACGCCGCGUGAGUGAUGAAGGUCUUCGGAUCGUAAAACUCUGUUAUUAGGGAAGAACAAAUGUGUAAGUAACUAUGCACGUCUUGACGGUACCUAAUCAGAAAGCCACGGCUAACUACGUG